UUGGUCUGAGGCAGAAAUCACCACUUCUGUGCAGAGGGAUAUGAGCCACAUGCCGCUCUCCCACCUGCUGUGGGUGUCCAUGGCCUUUAUCUACUUCUACUCCAGAUUCAGUGUGGCCCAGAAAGUGACUCAAGUCCCGCCAGCCACAUCUGGUCAGGAAGGAGGAGCAGUCACCCUGGAAUGUUCUUAUGAAACAAGUUGGAGUGCAUACGAUUUAUUUUGGUACAAAGAACUUCCCAGUGGAAAGAUGAUGCCCCUUAUUCGUCAGAGCUCUUCUGGUGCAAAUAGAAGAGAAGGUCGCUAUUCUGUCCAGUUCAGGAGAGCAGAUAAAUACAUCAGCCUUACCAUUUCACCCUUACAGCGGGAAGACUCAGCAAAGUAUUUAUGUGCUCUGAGGGAACCCACAGUGUUUGAAUUGAUAGUAAAAGCUGAACAAAAACUCAGGAGCUCUAUAAGGAGAUGGGGCCCUGCUGCAGAAGCCAGCUGA